CCUACGGGAGGCAGCAGUAGGGAAUAUUGCUCAAUGGGGGAAACCCUGAAGCAGCAACGCCGCGUGGAGGAUGAAGGUUUUCGGAUUGUUAACCCCUUUUGUUAGAGAAGAUAAUGACGGUAUCUAACGAAUAAGCACCGGCGCACUCCGUGCCAGCAGCCGUGGUAAUAAGGAGGGUGCAAGCGUUACUCGGAAUCACUGGGCGUAAAGAGCGCGUAGGCGGGAUAGCAAGUCAGAUGUGAAAUCCUCGGGCUUAACCAGAGAACUGCAUUUGAAACUGUUAUUCUAGAGUAUGGGAGAGGUAGGUGGAAUUCGUGGUGUAGGGGUAAAAUCCGUAGAGAUCAAGAAGAAUACUGAUUGCGAAGGCGGCCUGCUAGAACAUCACUGACGCUGAUGCGCGAAAGCGUGGGGAGCGAACAGGAUUAGAUACCCGAGUAGUC
rnacentral:rRNA from 1 species